rnacentral:rRNA from 1 species
UACAGAGGGGGCAAGCGUUGCUCGGAAUUACUGGGCGUAAAGGGCGCGUAGGCGGGGUGGCAAGUCGGUCGUGAAAUCCUUCGGCUCAACCGAAGAACGUCGGCCGAUACUGCCGUUCUUGAGGGAUGCAGAGGAGAUUGGAAUUCCCGGUGUAGCGGUGAAAUGUGUAGAGAUCGGGAGGAACACCGGUGGCGAAGGCGGGUCUCUGGGCAUCUCCUGACGCUGAGGCGCGAAAGCGUGGGGAGCAAACAGG